rnacentral:rRNA from 1 species
GAUGACGGCCUUCGGGUUGUAAACCUCUUUUAGCAAGGAAGAAGCGAAAGUGACGGUACUUGCAGAAAAAGCGCCGGCUAACUACGUGCCAGCAGCCGCGGUAAUACGUAGGGCGCAAGCGUUAUCCGGAAUUAUUGGGCGUAAAGAGCUCGUAGGCGGUUUGUCGCGUCUGCUGUGAAAUCCCGAGGCUCAACCUCGGGCCUGCAGUGGGUACGGGCAGACUAGAGUGCGGUAGGGGAGAUUGGAAUUCCUGGUGUAGCGGUGGAAUGCGCAGAUAUCAGGAGGAACACCGAUGGCGAAGGCAGAUCUCUGGGCCGUAACUGACGCUGAGGAGCGAAAGGGUGGGGAGCAAACAGGCUUAGAUACCCUGGUAGUCCACCCCGUAAACGUUGGGAACUAGUUGUGGGGUCCAUUCCACGGAUUCCGUGACGCAGCUAACGCACUAAGUUCCCCGCCUGGGGAGUACGGCCGCAAGGCUA